UGGUUUGUAACAGAGUGACACACGGAUGGGAUGCAUGACAGGCGAGUGGACUCCAGAGUUGCUCUGCUGGGUUCUGGAUAGAGACCAAGAGGGUUUGCUCCGUUUUCACGCUACAGCUAGGAAAAGAAGCCAUUGCUAUGACAAAUCUUCAUUAAAGGUCACUUUGUGAUACCACAGUAUUGGAGGAUCCAUGCAAAGGAGACUUGGCCUAUGCCAUCUGGGCUACAGAAAUCACAGUACCUGUGUUUGAGGUGUUUAUUUCAUUUUUCCAAAUGAUAUUGAGCUGGGCUGGAUGAGAACCAAUGGAGUCAGAAAACCAUACAUUUACAACAGGUACAUGGAAAUUUCUGUUAGCCCCAUGUCUCCAGUCUCUUAAGGUGAUGGUGUGCCUCACAAGACACUCAAGAUCAUCCAAGUACAUAGUCAUGGAUAACUUAUCUCCUUGUCUGUCACCUUCUACUAUUUCAUACCCCGUGUUUGAAGGAUUCUGUGAUUUUAAUCCUUUUUUGUUCUUUGGGAUAUACUGCCUCUAAAUUGCUCACUCUUCAGGACAAUGUGAGUUUCCUGCCAAUGUUAGAUUCAGGAAAAGAACCAAAGAAUGUAAGAGCUGGUACACCUAUGGUCUCACAACUCAGUAGACAAAUUCUUGAGAAACCAAACGGCGUGUUAAUACGUGUCAACAGCAUGUUCACUCGUGUCAAGGGUGAGGAAGAAGCAGUCACUUUUAGAAAGGAUGGUGGCAGGACUCACAUGGAAACAUGAGGAGUUAGCAAAGCCACUUGCCUUCACCACUAAACUCCCCACCUUAAACACCAGAGCAGAAACAGUUCCCAAUCAUCAACUGUCCAGAACAGUCUCACUUACUUAGAGGCAACCCGGAAAUAUUUCUGGAUGAAAUAAAAGGCUACACCCAGGGGGGCAAGGGCGACGAGAAACACGGGUGUAGCAUAGGAGAUCAUUCCAAUAGCAGACAGGCAGAGCAGCGUAGAGCGUGUCAGCGACUCCAAGGUCGGAGGGAUAUGCUGUGGGGAGAGAGUACGAAGGACAAUGCAUUUAGCUCAUGUGCAAUAUCUGUGGCAGUGUAAUAACAUUCAUGUUUAUAUUCAUGUUAAGUAAUGGGAGCCACCACCAAAGCAAGCUGUAGGCCUGCUCACAGUAGACAAUUCCACAUGUGUCCACAGUUCAGUAUCGACAUAUCAUUGACAUGGUGUCCACCUGCUUGUCUCAGAUACUAUAGAUAAAUGCUUAUACCAGAAGUUUGGUCAUCCCAGUGUUUGUUUUGCUUUACCAUAAUCGAAUAUGGCUAUUUCCACAUCAGUGUUUUCAAACAUUCCUUUCUAAUGGAUAGACAGUUUAAAACUCAUCUAGUCUUCCUACUGUAAAAUGUGUAGACUAUUUUUUUUCAGU
rnacentral:lncRNA from 1 species